rnacentral:lncRNA from 1 species
GGAAGCAGGUCCAUGGAACAAGUGGUUUGGUCUACAUGGGCCUCAAGGCAGAGGCCUAGUCGUAACUAUGGACAGAACAAGGGUCAUUGAGAAAUUUCGUUUGGGCCUUAAGCCCACACGACCACAACUCAACAAAGGGUCCGGGUCCAGUCCAACUUAUCUGCUGAACAAAAAAUGAAAAAAAAAAAACCUCAAUUGGAAAAGCUGAAAUAUCACAAAAGUGAAUCGC